AGAGUUUGAUCCUGGCUCAGAUUGAACGCUGGCGGCAGGCCUAACACAUGCAAGUCGAACGGUAACAGGAAACAGCUUGCUGUUUCGCUGACGAGUGGCGGACGGGUGAGUAAUGUCUGGGAAACUGCCUGAUGGAGGGGGAUAACUACUGGAAACGGUAGCUAAUACCGCAUAACGUCGCAAGACCAAAGAGGGGGACCCUCGGGCCUCUUGCCAUCGGAUGUGCCCAGAUGGGAUUAGCUUGUUGGUGGGGUAACGGCUCACCAAGGCGACGAUCCCUAGCUGGUCUGAGAGGAUGACCAGCCACACUGGAACUGAGACACGGUCCAGACUCCUACGGGAGGCAGCAGUGGGGAAUAUUGCACAAUGGGCGCAAGCCUGAUGCAGCCAUGCCGCGUGUAUGAAGAAGGCCUUCGGGUUGUAAAGUACUUUCAGCGGGGAGGAAGGGAGUAAAGUUAAUACCUUUGCUCAUUGACGUUACCCGCAGAAGAAGCACCGGCUAACUCCGUGCCAGCAGCCGCGGUAAUACGGAGGGUGCAAGCGUUAAUCGGAAUUACUGGGCGUAAAGCGCACGCAGGCGGUUUGUUAAGUCAGAUGUGAAAUCCCCGGGCUCAACCUGGGAACUGCAUCUGAUACUGGCAAGCUUGAGUCUCGUAGAGGGGGGUAGAAUUCCAGGUGUAGCGGUGAAAUGCGUAGAGAUCUGGAGGAAUACCGGUGGCGAAAGCGGCCCCUGGACGAAGACUGACGCUCAGGUGCGAAAGCGUGGGGAGCAAACAGGAUUAGAUACUCUGGUAGUCCACGUCGUAAACGAUGUCGACUAGAGGGUGUGCUCUUUGAGGCGUGCUUCUGGAGCUAACGCGUU
rnacentral:rRNA from 1 species